rnacentral:lncRNA from 1 species
GGUGAUUGUCCAGCUGAGACUGGGACGGUGAGGAUACAAAUAGAAGGGCCACAUAGUAACAUCUAAACUGUGUGUGUGUAUGGGGGGGGGGUGACUUGACUCUCAUAGACAGAUCAUGUUUUCUUGAUACCAUGUGUGGUGGUUGAAUGAAAAUGGCCCCCGUAGGUCUAUAGUGGGUGGCACUAUUACAUACAGGGUGUGGCCUUGUUGGAGGAAGUAUGUCACUGGGGGUGGGCUUUGAGGUUUCAUAAGUUCAAGCCAGACUCAAUCUAUCUGGAUGUAGAACUCUCAGCUACCCCUCCAGCUCCAUGUCUCUCUGCCGUAAUGAUACUGGACUAAACCUUUGAACUGUAAGCGGGCCCCAAUGACACAUUUUCUUUUAUAAGAGUUGGCAUGGUCGUGGUGUCUCUUCACAGUAAUAGAAACCCUAACUAAGACACCAUGUUUCCUGUGUUUGUCAGAAUUCAGCUUAUGAGUUAGGGCACACAUUCAGGCCCACUAAACAAAGGUGAACAUUUACUCUUAUAACAAGGAUGCUCAAACAGAAUUAAUCACCUCCAGGCAUACUGAUCAAUGGUACAACUGAUGUCAUUAAGGAUGUCAAGAAGAGAUUUUCUCUCUCCUCCUGUGCAUUUUCAUGGCUCUUAGAUGCCUUUCUACAGGCAAUAAAGGCUGGCAACCUCUGGCAGCUCUUAAUAAUCUUAGGUCAUAUCAUCUGAAAUCCCAAGGCAAAAGCAGCCUCCUUCUAAAUCGCUCUUAUUAAAACCUUGGAGGAUGAUUGAUUGGCCCAUUUUGGGUCAUCUUGAGUUCCUGAGUCAAUCACUGGCCAACUGGAUAGAGAAUGAUGACUAGCUAGGCCUGAGUCAUAGCCUGUACUUGGAUGGAGAUGAGGUCAC